rnacentral:rRNA from 1 species
UAGUCCACGCUGUAAACGAUGAUUACUCGGUGCUGGCGAUAUACUGUCAGUGCCUAAGCGAAAGUGAUAAGUAAUCCACCUGGGGAGUACGAUCGCAAGGUUGAAACUCAAAGGAAUUGACGGGGGCCCGCACAAGCGGUGGAGCAUGUGGUUUAAUUCGAUGAUACGCGAGGAACCUUACCUGGGCUUAAAUGCAUAAUGACAGACUGAGAAAUCAGUCGUUCUUCGGACAGAAUGCAAGGUGCUGCAUGGCUGUCGUCAGCUCGUGCUGUGAGGUGUCGGGUUAAGUCCCAUAACGAGUGCAACCCUAUUUCUAGUUGCCAGCACAUAAUGGUGGGGACUUUAGAAAAACUGCCUACGCAAGUAGAGAGGAAGGGUGGGGGACGACGGUCAAGUCAUCACGGGCCCUUACGUCCAGGGGCUACACACGUGCUACAAUGGUAGAGACAGAGGGGCAGGCCACUUGGGUGACAAGGGA